AUUUAGAAUUUUCUGUUGGAAACGGGGCAGAUAAAUUAGCAGAAAAUGCACAGUCUCAGAAAAUUAUGAAAAUUGGCAGAGAUGUCAAAAAUAUUUUUAUGAGGCUAGAUUUAAGGUUUCAUAUUUUUCUGACACCCGUAGAGUGAGAAAUAAAAUCCGACACCUAUCUGAUAAAGAUUACAGUUCGGUACAGUUUUCAGUGACCAAACGGGGUCGAAACUGAACCAGCGAUCGUCAGCUUGUUAAGUUAUGUAAAACCGAACAUGACUGUCAAGUUUGAGCUCAAACGGAUAUUUAGGGAGCUCCGGCGAAAGUUAUCAGAUUUCAAGCUGCCCGGGAAUGAAUAGUGUCGGGUGCAUUAUAAAGAAGCUGAUGCUUCUUCUUCUUUCUCCUUCAGCCCGAGCACACCCACACCCACGCACGCAUGGAGUAGAGAGAGAAACACCUCUACCACUCUCUAGAUAUCUCUCUCAUCUCUCUAAAUCUCUCUCUAAAAAUUGGAGGGUUGGUGGAGAAGAUGCUUGCGAACGCGUUGGAGGCGUCGGAUCGGGCUUUCGUGCGACCGUUGGAGCGGUGUGUUGUCGUCGCGGCGUUCACAUUGAGGUAAGCUUUUGGGAUUUGGCUUAAUCCUUAAUGCUUAGUGUUCUAAUAGCCUCUAAUGAGCAUUCUAAACAUGUUUGCUCUAUUUAAUUUGGAUUAUUUGGAGAUUAAUUCAUGUUAGGCUUAGAAAAUAGGGUUUUAUAAAAUAUGAGGGUUUGAUCUAAUUUGACCCUCCGUAAACCAAAUUGCUAGGUAAACGAACGCGUUGGCGAAGACGGUUCGGCAAUCCGACGAGCCGUUACAAAGUUAUUAAAGAAAUAGACGUUUAGGCUUCGGGUCCGCCGGGAGGGCCGAGGCGAUACCGUAAAUUCAUGAAAAUGGAUUUGAAGCAUCGUGGCACAUAACCGAAGACCUUUAAUUUUCGGAUCGUGAAUUGGAGGCCGUUCGGGUAGUCGCGUGAGAGAUCGGACCAAACCGAGUGCCGGGUGCCGCGGGCGGCCGAUUGCAAGUGUCGACAAGCAAUCGGAAUGCGAAAUGAGGUGGGUUGUGUUUACCGAAGCGACUAGGUCGCCCUUUAUGUCUAAAAAAUGAGAUUUCAUAUUGAUGCAUGUUGAC
rnacentral:lncRNA from 1 species